rnacentral:rRNA from 1 species
UAACACAUGCAAGUCGAGCGGUAGCAGGUCCUUCGGGAUGCUGACGAGCGGCGGACGGGUGAGUAAUGCAUAGGAAUCUGCCCGGUAGUGGGGGAUAACCUGGGGAAACCCAGGCUAAUACCGCAUACGUCCUACGGGAGAAAGGGGGCUCCGGCUCCCGCUAUUGGAUGAGCCUAUGUCGGAUUGAGACUAGUUGGUGAGGUAAUGGCUCACCAAGGCAACGAUCCGUAGCUGGUCUGAGAGGAUGAUCAGCCACAUCGGGACUGAGACACGGCCCGAACUCCUACGGGAGGCAGCAGUGGGGAAUAUUGGACAAUGGGGGCAACCCUGAUCCAGCCAUGCCGCGUGUGUGAAGAAGGCCCUCGGGUUGUAAAGCACUUUCAGCGAGGAAGAACGCCUGUCGGUUAAUACCCGGCAGGAAAGACAUCACUCGCAGAAGAAGCACCGGCUAACUCCGUGCCAGCAGCCGCGGUAAUACGGAGGGUGCAAGCGUUAAUCGGAAUUACUGGGCGUAAAGCGCGCGUAGGUGGCUUGAUAAGCCGGUUGUGAAAGCCCCGGGCUCAACCUGGGAACGGCAUCCGGAACUGUCGAGCUAGAGUACAUGGAGAGGAAGGUAGAAUUCCCGGGUGUAGCGGGUGAAAUGCGUAGAGAUCGGGGAGGAAUACCAGUGGCGAAGGCGGCCUUCUGGACUGAUACUGA